rnacentral:rRNA from 1 species
UAGCAUAUCAAUAAGCGGAGGAAAAGAAACCAACAGGGAUUGCCCUAGUAACGGCGAGUGAAGCGGCAACAGCUCAAAUUUGAAAUCUGGCCUUCGGGUCCGAGUUGUAAUUUGCAGAGGAUGCUUUUGGUGAGGUGCCUUCCGAGUUCCCUGGAACGGGACGCCAUAGAGGGUGAGAGCCCCGUCUGGUCGGACACCAAUCCUUUGUAAAGCUCCUUCGACGAGUCGAGUAGUUUGGGAAUGCUGCUCUAAAUGGGAGGUAUAUGUCUUCUAAAGCUAAAUACCGGCCAGAGACCGAUAGCGCACAAGUAGAGUGAUCGAAAGAUGAAAAGCACUUUGAAAAGAGAGUUAAACAGUACGUGAAAUUGUUGAAAGGGAAGCGCUCAUGACCAGACUUGGGCUUGGUUGAUCAACUUGGGUUCUCCCGGGUGCACUCUUCCUCGUCCAGGCCAGCAUCAGUUCGCUGCGGGGGAUAAAGGUUUCGGGAAUGUGGCUCCCUCGGGAGUGUUAUAGCCCGUUGCGUAAUACCCUGCGGUGGACUGAGGUCCGCGCAUCUGCAAGGAUGCUGGCGUAAUGGUCAUCAGCGACCCGUCUUGAAACACGGACCAAGGAGUCGUCUUCGUAUGCGAGUGUUCGGGUGUUAAACCCCUACGCGGAAUGAAAGUGAACGCAGGUGAGAGCUUCGGCGCAUCAUCGACCGAUCCUGAUGUUCUCGGAUGGAUUUGAGUAAGAGCAUACGGGGCCGGACCCGAAAGAAGGUGAACUAUGCCUGUAUAGGGUGAAGCCAGAGGAAACUCUGGUGGAGGCUCGCAGCGGUUCUGACGUGCAAAUCGAUCGUCAAAUAUGGGCAUGGGGGCGAAAGACUAAUCGAACCUUCUAGUAGCUGGUUUCCGCGA